rnacentral:rRNA from 1 species
ACUGCUCAGUAACACGUGGAUAACCUGCCCUUGGGUCCGGCAUAACCCCGGGAAACUGGGGAUAAUACCGGAUAACGCACAUAUGCUGGAAUGCUUUAUGCGUAAAAUGGAUUCGUCUGCCCAAGGAUGGGUCUGCGGCCUAUCAGGUAGUAGUGGGUGUAAUGUACCUACUAGCCAACAACGGGUACGGGUUGUGAGAGCAAGAGCCCGGAGAUGGAUUCUGAGACAUGAAUCCAGGCCCUACGGGGCGCAGCAGGCGCGAAAACUUUACAAUGCGGGAAACCGUGAUAAGGGGACACCGAGUGCCAGCAUCAUAUGCUGGCUGUCCGGGUGUGUAAAAUACACCUGUCAGCAAGGGCCGGGCAAGACCGGUGCCAGCCGCCGCGGUAACACCGGCGGCCCGAGUGGUGAUCGUGAUUAUUGGGUCUAAAGGGUCCGUAGCCGGUUUGGUCAGUCCUCCGGGAAAUCUGACGGCUCAACCGUUAGGCUUUCGGGGGAUACUGCCAGGCUUGGAACCGGGAGAGGUAAGAGGUACUACAGGGGUAGGAGUGAAAUCUUGUAAUCCCUGUGGGACCACCUGUGGCGAAGGCGUCUUACCAGAACGGGUUCGACGGUGAGGGACGAAAGCUGGGGGCACGAACCGGAUUAGAUACCCGGGUAGUCCCAGCCGUAAACGAUGCUCGCUAGGUGUCAGGCAUGGCGCGACCGUGUCUGGUGCCGCAGGGAAGCCGUGAAGCGAGCCACCUGGGAAGUACGGCCGCAAGGCUGAAACUUAAAGGAAUUGGCGGGGGAG